rnacentral:rRNA from 1 species
CCUACGGGUGGCAGCAGUGAGGAAUAUUGGUCAAUGGCCGAAAGGCUGAACCAGCCAAGUAGCGUGAGGGAAGACUGCCCUAUGGGUUGUAAACUUCUUUUAUGUGGGGAUAAAGUGGUCCACGUGUGGGUGUUUGCAUGUACCGUAUGAAUAAGGACCGGCUAAUUCCGUGCCAGCAGCCGCGGUAAUACGGAGGGUCCGAGCGUUAUCCGGAUUUAUUGGGUUUAAAGGGAGCGUAGGUGGGUGUUUAAGUCAGUUGUGAAAGUUUGCGGCUCAACCGUGAGAGUGCAGUUGGAACUGGCAGCCUUGAGUGCAGGAGAGGUAGGCGGAAUUCGUGGUGUAGCGGUGAAAUGCUUAGAUAUCACGAAGAACCCCGAUUGCGAAGGCAG